GAUGAACGCUGGCGGCAUGCCUAACACAUGCCAGUCGGGCGGGCGGUCGUGUUUCCUGUUUCUCACGUGUUAGUAACGCGUAAGAACGUACCCCGUGGAUGGGAACAACAUCUGGAAACGGCUGCUAAUACCCCCCGGGCCUAGUAGCAAAAGAUGUAAUGCGCCCGAUGAGUGGCUCGCGUCUGAUUAUCUAGUUGUCGCUGCUAUAGCUUACCAAGGCGAUGAUCAGUAGAUGUUCCGAGAGGAUGAUCAGCCACACUGCGACUGAGACACGGAGCAGACUACUACGGGAGGCAGGCGAGGGGAAUUCUCAGCAAUGGGCGAAAGGCUGACGGAGCCAUGCGGCGGGGAGGUAGAAGGACUACGGGUCGAGAACUUCUUAUGCCGCAGAAGAAGCAAUGACGGUAUCUGGGGAAUAAGCAUCGGCUAACUCUGUG
rnacentral:rRNA from 1 species